rnacentral:rRNA from 1 species
UACGUAGGGUGCGAGCGUUAAUCGGAAUUACUGGGCGUAAAGCGUGCGCAGGCGGUUCGUUAAGUCAGAUGUGAAAGCCCCAGGCUUAACCUGGGAAGUGCACUCGAAACUGUAGGGCUUGAGUAUGGAAGAGGGUCUCGGAAUUCCCGGUGUAGAGGUGAAAUUCGUAGAUAUCGGGAGGAACACCAGUGGCGAAGGCGGAGACCUGGGCCAAUACUGACGCUGAGGUGCGAAAGCGUGGGGAGCAAGCAGG